ACAUUUUCACACCGUGUAACCUGCAUGGAUUAUUAGCAGAAAAAGGCACUUAAGAACAAAAUGAACAGAAUUCAGUACAUUCUAACAGGUGGAGAAUAAAAUAGUUGAAAGGGUAUCGCCGGUGAUUGCUUGGAGCAUUUUCCAUAGGAAAUAGAUGGCACAAAGUAUAGUCAACCAAGUCCAUGGAACAAGGGUCAAGUAAUAAAAUUACACAAUAAAUAUAAUCUGGGUGAUAUUCAGAGCUACAAUCUGACAAAUGAUAAUCAAAUCCACUAUAGUGUGGGAUACCUCCCUACACAAAAUUCCACAAGGCUUAGGCCAGGACGACAUAGAUUACAGUGACCGGCACAGUUAAGAGAGUGAGAGACAAUCACAAAUGUCUGGCAACUUAUUAAAAAAACGCGUCAUGGGUACAAGUGUAGAAGCUAAGCAAACCACGCAGCAGAUAAAUCCAGAAGUAACCGAUGGGGCAACUGAGGAAUCGGAUUCAACCAACAAUACCCCAGUCGGAGCAAAGUGGAAGUCCCUACAGUCCAGAACCACUACAUUAGAGUAUGCUGAGAAGUACUCUAGUCGAAACGCGACUCCUACGGAGGGAAAGCAGCUUGGUUUCGGUGUGGCCCCGUCGACGGCGGCGACACAAGCCCUCACACUCCGGCAGCUCUCCACUACCACCCUAGAUCCACCGCAGGAGAGCAGCGCAAUUCCAACGCCCGCCACAGUCGCUAGAAAAUUAACACGUGAAA
rnacentral:misc_RNA from 1 species